GGCGCGCAGGCACUGCCAACUUCCUCUAACUCGGUCCCAAGCCCCGCUGGGACCCCAUUUCCCAGAAGCCUGAGCAGCAAGGAACCGGAAGAGGAAUUAUUUCCAUUUCCUCAUCGCUUACUCUUCUUCGGGCUUCUCUAGAGCUUUUUCUUUCCUACUGCGCCCAUGCUAAUGUGAAGCCUAUGACGACGAGGGAGGCAGCCAGUGAAAGGGCAGUGGACUGCCCCGCCCUGCCGUCCCUAGUCCCGAUUCUCAGCGGGUGGAGUCCAGAGGCGGAGAGGGUUCCUGCCACCUUCCUCUGAGGAGUUUCUACCGGGCUCCGGAAAUUGCUCUGAGGGGGACCCGCGCUUGAGGGUUGGGUUUUUGGGAGCCCAGAAGAAAGCCUGUGAUCGCUCGGCCACCAGCCACGCCGGGGAACGUUUCGGCCGCGGAGACCCUGGCGCUCGCGGGCUCAGUCCUCAGCCGGCGGGAGCGGUUCCGAGUGUCUGUACCCAUGCGUGCCGCAACCGUGGGCCGUCAGCUCCUCGGAUUCCCUGAAACUGGAGGUACACAAAAGUGUGAACCGCCAUGUGGCGUGCCGGGAGCCGGACCCUCUGCCCUCCUGAAGACCAGCAAUGGCUCCUAACCCAGUUGUCUAAUUCCAACACCAACAUGGUGGCUCAUAGACGUCGGUAGCUCCAGUUUUAGGGGAUCAGAUGCCCCUCUGGCCACUGAAGCCCCAGGGUGUGCACACAGCACUUCCAGGCAGGCGGAAACAAACAUAAAAAUAAAGAAUCGUUUGUAUGUAUUCUU